rnacentral:rRNA from 1 species
GAUGAACGCUAGCUACAGGCUUAACACAUGCAAGUCGAGGGGAAACGACAUCGAAAGCUUGCUUUUGAUGGGCGUCGACCGGCGCACGGGUGAGUAACGCGUAUCCAACCUGCCCACCACUUGGGGAUAACCUUGCGAAAGUAAGACUAAUACCCAAUGACGUCUCUAGAAGACAUCUGAAAGAGAUUAAAGAUUUAUCGGUGAUGGAUGGGGAUGCGUCUGAUUAGCUUGUUGGCGGGGUAACGGCCCACCAAGGCGACGAUCAGUAGGGGUUCUGAGAGGAAGGUCCCCCACAUGGGAACUGGGACACGGUCCAAACUCCUACGGGAGGAAGCAGUGAGGAAUAUUGGUCAAUGGACGAGAGUCUGAACCAGCCAAGUAGCGUGCAGGAUGACGGCCCUAGGGGUUGUAAACUGCUUUUAGAAGGGAAUAAAGUGAGUCUCGUGAGACUUUUUGCAUGUACCUUAUGAAUAAGGACCGGCUAAUUCCGUG